ensembl:lncRNA
CUUGGCACGCUGGGGGCUCAGCGGGGAGGCGCGGGCCGAACCUGCCGCGGUCUGAGCUGGGACGCGUUUUUGAGCCUGCGUUUUUGAGCCGACUUUUAAAUUAGUAUGUUAUAGCAAACCACAGCUCUUACAGGACGACCUAGGAAUGCUCAUUUUCGUUUCCAAAGCUGUCAAGUCUUGCUCAUGCGCAGGCAUAAUCUUCAAUGCCAGUGGCUUUGCCAUGGGUCAGGCUCUGUUCCUAGUCCGCCUUGAAGCCCUGCAUCACCUGCCGUGGGCAGCCCCGAUUUCAGCAGAAAGGUCAAUAGAGCCUCAGUGUCUGGCAGCAGCAAAUGCGCAGCUGCAGAUCACUAUUAACUUGUGGCUUUUCUUGGGACAAUGGCUGGGUAUCCUUGCAGUUAAAAUAAAACGCUUCAUGAAGGUAAGAAGCUGGUACUAUAUAGUAAACAAGUUUGAGAAAUGCACUGGGCUACGCUCUUCAGAAACAGCAACCAAACUGUAGGAAGACACCAAUGGGACAGUGUGUCUAGAGAAGAGAGAUGGUAUAGCAACAUUAACUUGGUUCUAUGCUCAGCUCUGUAUUGAACUAUAUGUUCUGCUGAAGACUUAGAAUACAUAAAUUAUGUCUAUAUUGGUAAACUUAACAGCUUCAGGGCUUGUUUUCUUGCCCUGAGACGACCUUGCGGAGUUUAUGUAUGUCCAUACCGUUAAAUUUCUAGCGUUCAUAAUACAAUGCCUGCAUUCGUUAGCACAGGCCUGUGCUAAUUUUUGGACUGUACUGGGAACUCUGUCUGGGCUCAGCUCGUAACCUCACAGCUAAGUCUGUGGCAGGGACCUUAGCGGUGUGGAUGGCUGAGAUAGCGCCCGCGCUGUGCCCUGGCAGCGUUUAGCUAGCUGGUGUAGCUGUGGCUGUGCGGCUCCAGCGGUUCUAAGACGUCUGUAACUGAUGUUUGUCACAGCUGGUUCGGACAUGAGAACAAAUGCAGUAGUACUUGCUUUGGAUAUGCAUCGUUAUCAUAUGUGAACUGAUGUUCACAGUGCUUGUGGUUGAAGGGGGCUGGUACGUAAUGUUAUGUCUGCGCUCAUGGACGUGGUAACAAGGCUUGCGCUAUGCAGCAGAGAAGUUCUGCGCUUUCUUUUUGGUUCCUGAGGUAUUUGAGUUGAUCUUCCUCUUGCUUCUGUUCGGUACGGUCCUCGUGAUCCAGCCCCCUAAAGCGGGAAAGGAUCAGUAGAACAGCAGAGCGCCCUGCGCACCUUUCUGCUCUGAUACGUGGCAGCGCCCUGUAACUUGCAGGCUGCCAUGGUGUUAGCGGCCUGCUUAAACCAGGGCAAGAAAUGCUGUUGCUGGACGUAAGCCACAGACAAGCCGUCCUUGUGCUUCGUGUGUGGAGAAAGCAUACACUGUCAUGUGCCAAGUUUGAAGAAAUUUGUUAUUUGUUUUUUCGUGGGAAGUCCCCAAGUGUGACUUGACAAAAUAUUUUUCUGCUGUGCAGCUUCAAAACAUUGAGGCUUAGGAGUUGAGUGAAUACGGACUGAGAGCUGUCGCAGGAGUCUGUCUCUUUAUAAAUGCUCUUUGGCCAGGAUAUCCUAAAACUGAAAAAGCAAAAUUUCAUGCUACCUGUUGAUGAGAUCAAGAUACUGGCACCUUUUUUUCUUUUUUGUGCUGAUUUUCUGUUGAGUUAAACUGACUUUUUUUUUUUUGGCUGUGGAGGGUGAAGAAUUUUAGUGAGAGAGCGCAUUUGGGUAAGCAAAUAAAUAUGAACAUGUUGCAAUGAAUUCCUUGAAG